CCUGUUAUGAAGCUCUAUCUUUGGGACCAAGCUGCUGUGGAUUUCUGCAAGAAGUUCAAGUCUUCUGACAACACUCCCUCCGUGAUUUUGGUGACUACUGUUUACCCCAAACGUUUAGGAGGCACACUUGCUCUCACAUCCAUGACCUCCUCACGGGUCUUUUUGACUACGAGGUCCAACCAACUAAAGAGUAUAUCGACUGGUAUGUUUAAAAAUUUAGUAUAUAAUAGUUAGAACCCUUGCCACUUACAAUCAGUUUGAGUUAUGAAAUGUUUUCAAACGUUGGAGCAGGUUGGAAAUAAAUCCAUAUAUUGCCAAGCAGGUCAAUGCAGAUGUGGUUACAAAAACUGAGACAUUGACUAUUGGAGAAAUAUUCUCCUACAUGAAGCAGGGAGCUGUGAAGGUAUAAAAAAUUAUAUUUGUUUCUAAUUCAUUGUUUAACAUAUUUUUACUUAUCUUAAUUGCUUACACAUUGUCUCAGGAUGCUUUCUUUGUGUGCACUGCGACAAUCGAUGAUGUUGUCCACGACUCUUCUUGGUAUUAUAUAGCAUGCAGUGGGUUCAAAACAAAGGCAACCAAAGGGCCAACCUCCCUUAUGUGCGCAAAAUGUGGCAAGAACGAUGUUGCCGGUGAACCACAGUACCUAGCUAAGAUUAUGUUUAUGAUAAGAGUGAUGAGGCUGUUUUUGUUCUCCUUGGCGAUGCCGGUCGUGAGCUAACAGGGAAGCAUGCGUCGGAGUUGGUUAGCAAUUAUUUUGAGGCCAAUGGAAAUAAAGAAAAUGGAUUCGAGGUGCCCGUUCCGCAAGCUCUGCUCAACACCAUAGGGCAAACACACAAGUUCAAUGUAAAGGUGACUGAGCACAAUUUUUCAGGCAGGACGCGGGUAAUAACCGUGACGAAGGUCCUGUCCCCAUCUGCUCCACUAUCUACACAAGAUCCAGUUGCUGAUCAAAUUAGUGGCUCUGGUAAUGGAACACUUGCGACUGGGUAUGACGUUAUUGAGCCAUCCAAAAGCCCUCAAGAUUCUGCAGAGGUAGGGCUGAAAAGGAUGGGUGAUGGUGUUGAGAUAGGCAACGCUAAACGUUCUAAAGAUGGGAACUAAUAUGCCUCUCAUCGUGGCAAAGAAUGCAACUUUUACUACACUUAUCUGUUUUAGCUUUCCAGUUUUUUUUGGCUUUUGUUUGACUCUUUCUCCUAAUUCUGCUUAUUUCAUACUUUUGAAUCUAUUUUGGAAACAAUUUGUUUUUUAAAGCAUGGUACUAACUUUUUUUGAAUCAGCAUGAGUUUCACGUUAAAAGCAUGAUACUAACUUUUUUUUAAAAAAUUACCGGACCCAAAUUAGUGCUACCAAAUAAUAUCUAAUGCCUUGAUUUAUGCCUCAUAUCAAAAGAAUCAAUUGCACAACUAAGUUGAAUAUAUUUUUUCCCAUAAUUGUAAAUCUUUACAUAAAAAAACAGAGCCAAUAUAUUAUCUCCAUAAAAGUCUAUGUCACUCAUUAGCUUGAUUUUACUUUUAAUACAAGUUUUGAUUUUCAUUGAACGUGGAUUAAAAGUUUUAUAUCUCCCUCGAUUAGAAAAUAUUUGAAAACAAAACAAAACACCUAGAUUAAGUCCCCUUUGUCUAAAAAAAAUUAGACUAUAUUUUUUUUUGUGGAAUUUUUUUCCAAAAAGACAGAUUAUCAUAGGAUAGAAUUUUGGUUUUUUGUCUACCUAUUGAUUUGUUUAGUUCCCUGGCACAUAGGUUGUGUUUCCAGUGAGUAUAUACGAAAAAUAUAGAACACUAUGAGAAGCCAAACUCUGGAAAGCAUAGCCAAACCACGCUUGGCCAACAUAUAAAUGUUAGAUGUUAGUAACUAUUAAUUUGGCUAAAUGGUUUCCUAUAAGUAUGCCAGUAUAC